UACGUAGGGUGCGAGCGUUGUCCGGAAUUAUUGGGCGUAAAGAGCUCGUAGGCGGUGUGUCACGUCGGCCGUGAAAACCUGACAGCUUAACUGUGGGCGUGCGGUCGAUACGGGCAUCACUGGAGUUCGGCAGGGGAGACUGGAAUUCCUGGUGUAGCGGUGAAAUGCGCGAGAUAUCAGGAGGAACACCGGUGGCGAAGGCGGGUCUCUGGGCCGAUACUGACGCUGAGGAGCGAAAGCGUGGGGAGCAAACAGGA
rnacentral:rRNA from 1 species